rnacentral:RNase_P_RNA from 1 species
UGAGCAGGACAAAUGAUCGCGGCUGCAAGUGUCGAAAGACCGCAGGUGAGGAAAGUCCGGGCUUCACAGGGCAGGAUGCCGGAUAACGUCCGGUGGAGGUGACUCCCAGGCCAGUGCAACAGAAAUAAACCGCCACUGAUUCCAGUGGUAAGGGUGGAAAGGCAGUGUAAGAGACUACCGUGCGGCUGGUAACAGCCGUAGCCAUGUAAACCCCAUCCGAAGCAAGACCAGAACGAAGCGAUGACGUGGCCCGCCAGCUUCAGGUAGGUCGCUUGAGGCGCAUGGCAACAUGCGUCCUAGAUAGAUGAUCAUUCAACGACAUAACCCGGCUUAUCGUUCUGCUUAACCU